rnacentral:rRNA from 1 species
GAUGAACGCUAGCGGCAGGCCUAAUACAUGCAAGUCGAACGGGAUUGCGGUGUAGCUUGCUACACUGCAUGAGAGUGGCGCACGGGUGCGUAACGCGUGAGCAACCUGCCCAUAUCAGGGGGAUAGCCCGGAGAAAUCCGGAUUAACACCGCAUGUUACAGUAUUACCGCAUGGUAUAGCUGUUAAAUAUUUAUAGGACAUGGAUGGGCUCGCGUGACAUUAGCUAGUUGGUGGGGUAACGGCCCACCAAGGCGACGAUGUCUAGGGGCUCUGAGAGGAGAAUCCCCCACACUGGUACUGAGACACGGACCAGACUCCUACGGGAGGCAGCAGUAAGGAAUAUUGGUCAAUGGGCGGAAGCCUGAACCAGCCAUGCCGCGUGCAGGACGACUGCCCUAUGGGUUGUAAACUGCUUUUGUACGGGAAUAACCCUCUCUACGAGUAGAGAGCUGAACGUACCGUAAGAAUAAGGAUCGGCUAACUCCGUGCCAGCCGCCGCAGUAA